UUUGAAUUUAUAUUAAAACUUGAAUAAAAGUAGAUGUUCUUCAUAACUCAAAGAAUUUGGCGGUAAAUUUUAAUUAUUAGAGGAACCUGUGUAUGAAUUGAUAAACCACGAUAGUUUAAACCUUUAUUUUAUUUAUAUACCUCUAUAUUAGGAAUGUUUUUAAAAAAUUAUUUUCUUUUUGUUUAUUCUUCUAUAUUAGGUCAAGGUGUAGUUUUGUGAAGUGUUUAUGUGGGUUACUAUAGUCAUAAUUUUAAUUGAAUUUUUAGUGUUAACUAAACUAGUGCAUUAGGAUUUGAAAGUAAUUCUAAUUAAUUAAUUAGUGUGAAUAAUAUAAUAGUUUGUGU
rnacentral:rRNA from 1 species